rnacentral:rRNA from 1 species
AUGACGAUAACAGCUGGAAUGUCUAGGUUAAGAAGGCCCAGCACCCUUGUCGGGAAUGCACUUUGCUUGUUGAUUUCUGGAGGUGAUGUCCUUAUGUUUGAUUUCGAAAUGCAAAGUCUUGGUCUGAUCGAAAAGCCGGUAGAAAACCAUGGUACCGACGACUGGUAUUUUCAGCUCUUACGGAUGGAGAAUGAUGGACUAGGUCUUGCUAUUUUGUUGGACCUGACUAUCAAAUUAUGGGAGAGGAAAUCUAACUGCGAUGGUGUUUUCGAAUGGGUGCUGCUGCAGAAAACCAUUCCACUCGAGGGUAUGGUUCCAAGGAGAAUGGAUUCUUCACUUUUCGUUGGGUAUGAUGAGGAUGCAAAUGUGAUUGUUCUCACUACUAUAACCGGCAACUUCACACUCCAAGUUGACUCGAUGGAGAUCAAACAUAUUGUUAAAAGAAACAACAUAUGUCUUGACACCUUUUAUCCCUACAGGAAUUUCUAUACUGCAGGUAUUAAGAGUUAA